AUUGAACGCUGGCGGCAGGCCUAACACAUGCAAGUCGAGCGGAUGAAGGGAGCUUGCUCCUGGAAUCAGCGGCAGACGGGUGAGUAAUGCCUAGGAAUCUGCCUGGUAGUGGGGGAUAACGUCCGGAAACGGGCGCUACUACCGCCUACGUCCUCAGGGAGAAAGUGGGGGAUCUUCGGACCUCACGCUAUCAGAUGAGCCUAGGUCGGCUUAGCUAGUUGGUGGGGUAAAGGCCUCCCAAGGCGACGCUCCGUAACUGGUCUGAGAGGAUGAUCAGGCACACUGGAAUUGAGACACGGUCCAGACUCCUACGGGGGGCAGCAGUGGGGAAUAUGGGACAAGGGGCGAAUGCCGUAUCCAGCCAUGCCGCGUGUGUGAAGAAGGUCUUCGGAUUGUAGAGCACUUUAAGUUGGGAGGAAGGGCAGUAAGUGAAUGCCUUGCUGUUUUGACGGUACCAACAGAAUAAGCACCGGCUAACUUCGUG
rnacentral:rRNA from 1 species